rnacentral:tRNA from 1 species
CGAGGCGUUGAUGCUCGCAGGCGAUGCCUGACGGUUUUGGAUACCGUCGGACGGGAGUUCGAACCUUAUGGCCUCGA